rnacentral:rRNA from 1 species
UACGAAGGGGGCUAGCGUUGCUCGGAAUCACUGGGCGUAAAGCGCACGUAGGCGGCUUGUUAAGUCAGGGGUGAAAUCCUGGAGCUCAACUCCAGAACUGCCUUUGAUACUGGAAGGCUUGAAUCCGGGAGAGGGAUGCGGAAUUCCAGGUGUAGCGGUGAAAUUCGUAGAUAUCGGGAGGAACACCUAUGGCGAAAGCAGGCUUCUGGGCCAUCACUGACGCUGAUCUGCGAAAGCUAGGGGAGCAAACAGG